UACGUAGGUGGCAAGCGUUAUCCGGAAUUAUUGGGCGUAAAGCGCGCGCAGGCGGUCCUUUAAGUCUGAUGUGAAAUCUCGGGGCUCAACCCCGAGCGGUCAUUGGAAACUGGGGGACUUGAGUGCAGAAGAGAAGAGCGGAAUUCCACGUGUAGCGGUGAAAUGCGUAGAGAUGUGGAGGAACACCAGUGGCGAAGGCGGCUCUUUGGUCUGUAACUGACGCUGAGGCGCGAAAGCGUGGGGAGCGAACAGG
rnacentral:rRNA from 1 species